rnacentral:lncRNA from 1 species
CAAGAGCUGUGCUGCCCAUGGGAGUCCAGAGAAGGAGCACACUAAGGACCAACACCAGGAUACAGAGAGAAGACAGCUGUCUGCAAACCAGAAAGAGAGUCCUCACUGCACUUCAUAUCUGCCAAUGGAUCCUUGCUCUUGAACCUCCCAACCUGCAGAAUCAUGAGAAACAAACAUUGUCAUUUGCUCUAGGGGAAGCCUGCAGCUAUGUCAUGAGGACCCUCAACAGCCCUGUGCAGAGGACUAUGUGGCAUGAAAGAUACCUUCUGCCAACAACCAGCCCCAACUUGCCAAGCAUGUGAACAAGCUAAACUGAAAGCAGAUCUUCAGCCCCAAUCAAGCCUUCAGAUGACAGUAACCUCAGCCAAUAUACUGACUAUAACCUCAUAAAAGACCCUGAACCAGAACCCUCUAAGCCACUCUCAAACUCUACCCCACAUAAACUGUGAAAUAAUAUAUGUUUAUUGUUAUUUUGGGCCACUAAGUUUAGGGGUAAUUUGUUAUGCAGCAAUUAUAUAACCAAUAUUCCAACUAAAGCUGAAAUGCCUCCUGCAUUUCCUCCCUCAGUGGCCUACACUACAAUCCAAGUUCAGGAAAAAACGAGAACCUUAUUUAAGGUAGUGGCAAGAAAUGAAUGGAUUAACUGGACAUUUAAAAAGUAUUUGAUAGAACUUGGUGAUAGGAGGUGGGGCAGUUAGGGACUAGCAGGAAUUUAGGAUGAGAGGCUCAUUCAGUUGGGCUUAUGUUUUACUGAGGUCAAUUCCAAAAGGAAGGAAAGAAAAAUCCAGCCAAAUAACCUUUAAUGGACUAAGUCUUCUUUCAUAAGUCAGUUUGCACAACUUCUUCACAGGAAUCAGAUUUUAAAUAUCAUAACUGAAGAGAAAAAAAACAGCAAGAGGAGUUUACCUUUAUGGUGGAAUGACACUAAUCUUUCAUGCUUUCAAAUUUCUUGAAAUUUCCUUCGUAUGCAUUAUCUUAUUUGCUGUUCACAGUAAAACUGUGUAUUGGCUAAGCCAGUUUUUAUGAAAAUAUAAGCAGUGAGAAAAAGUAAGAUAGUAUGUCAGUUAGUAGAUUUUUUUAUGGACAUUGUGACAGAGGACACAACUUAAACUGGCUUUUUUUUUUUUUUUUUUUUUUUUGAGACAGAGUUUUGCUCUUGUUGCCCAGGCUGGAGUGCAAUGGCACGAUCUCGGCUCACUGCAACCUCCGCCCCCUGGGUUCAAGUGAUUCUCCUGCCUCAGCCUCCCGAGUAGCUGGAAACACAGGUGCCUGCCACCGCGUCCGGCUAAUUUUUUGUAUUUUUAGUAGAGAUGGAGUUUCACCAUGUUGGCCAGGCUAGUCUCAAACUCCUGACCUCAGGUGAUCCACCUGCCUCAGCCUCCCAAACUGCUGGGAUUACAGGUGUGAGCCACCGCACCUGGCAAAAGGGUUUUGUUUCUAAAGGUACAAGAACAGGUACAGCUUCGGGUCAGUGUGAUUCAGCCCUCAACAAAGCCACCAGGAUCCAUUUCUUGGCUCUGCUUCAUUGCUUCUCAUAGGCUGGCUCAUUCUCAGACUGUACGUGAUAUGGUUCAGUGGCUUUAGGCUCCAAGCAUGACAACACCCAACACUCAGAUUGAUGGAGCUAGAGCAAGUCUCUUCAGGCAGCGUCUAGGAAAGUUCUGAAAUUCACUCUGAUUGGCUGCCCAUCUCUGAAUCAACCACGUAACCCAAGGAAAUAGGAACUGCUGAUGGGUCAGGGUCGGUUCACAUGCUUCAUACCUGGAGCUGAGAAGACAUCAACUCCAUCCUGGAGCUCAUGGGCUGUGACUAGAGCAGACGGAGUUCUCAGAGGAAAGUCAGAGUACAGUUAUCAAAGCAAGCAGUUACAGAUGCUAGAUGACCAA